GAUGAACGCUGGCGGCGUGCCUAACACAUGCAAGUCGAACGGACUUACAUUGAAGCCUAGCGAUAUGUAAGUUAGUGGCGGACGGGUGAGUAACGCGUGGGUAACCUGCCUUGUACUGGGGGACAACAGUUGGAAACGACUGCUAAUACCGCAUAAGCGCACAGCUUCGCAUGAAGCAGUGUGAAAAACUCCGGUGGUACAAGAUGGACCCGCGUCUGAUUAGCUGGUUGGUGAGGUAACGGCCGACCAAGGCGACGGUCAGUAGACGGGCUUGGAGGGUGAACGGACACAUUGGGACUGGGACACGGCCCGAAAUCCUACGGGAGGCAGCAGUGGGGAAUAUUGCACAAUGGGGGAAACCCUGAUGCAGCAACGCCGCGUGAGUGGAGAAGUAUUUCGGUAUGUAAAGCUCUAUCAGCAGGAAAGAAAAUGACGGUACCUGACUAAGAAGCCCCGGCUAACUACGUGCCAGCCGCCGCGGUAA
rnacentral:rRNA from 1 species